GCAAACCCGGGGAACUGAAACAUCUAAGUACCCGGAGGAAAGGAAAUCAAUUGAUACUCCCCUAGUAGCGGCGAGCGAACGGGGACCAGCCGAGCCUCAAUUGUGGUUAGAAUGCGUUGGAAUGCGCAACCAAAGUGGGUGAUAGUCCCGUAUAAGAAGCAUGAGAGGACGUAUUAAGUAGGGCGGAACACGUGAAAUUCUGUCUGAAGAUCGGAGGACCACCUUCGAAGGCUAAGUACUCCUUACUGACCGAUAGUGAACCAGUACCGUGAGGGAAAGGUGAAAAGCACCCCGACAAGGGGAGUGAAACAGAUCCUGAAACCGGAUGCCUACAAGCAGUUGGAGCCCAAGGUCCGUCCUGGGUGACAGCGUACCUCUUGCAU
rnacentral:rRNA from 1 species